CUCUUCCGCAGCACAGGAUCGAGCAACUGUCCAAUCCUGACGAAGUUUUGUUGCAUACCCUCCCAUAAUUCCCUGCAAGCGACAAGGAUAAUCAAUUUACCACUCAAAUUCCUUCAAGAGCCAGAAAAGACAUAAAUUACCGAUUUCACGCAUAGAGGACAAUUGCUGCCAGCACGUGAUGAGGCUGCAACUACCGGAAACCCCGUGACAUUUGCAUGUGAUGCGCGACUUCUUGAUGACGGCCUACAAAGAGGAGAGCACCCCAGAGAAGAUCGUGUUGAGCAAGAACGUUGUGCGUCAUGUGGGAAUAAAAUUUUCAACUGCCCGUAAGCAGCGGCACUACAAGAGGCCACAAAUAAUUCCAGGAGUGUCCUUUUCCUGGGAGAGAAGAUCCGACAAGAAAAAUUGACCUGGCAGUGGUUUAGGGCGUCAAUUUGCACAAUGCGGAACUCUCUUUGAGGUUUCUGGAUCUUUUGUCGGUUUCUUUACAAUAAGAACGAGGCCAGGAUCACUGGAUUGUUUCCAUC